CCGAAACUUUUAUGUUUUCGAAUCGUUUUCUAUUACUCGUUCAGUCGUCCGAAAUUUCUACUAGUAUUUCCGAAUGGUCAAUAUCGUAUGUUAGAUAGGUACGAAAUGAAAACUAUAAUCCGCGCAACGAAUUGUAUUACACCCGUACGUUAAAAACGUAUAUUUCAUCAGAAUGCGGAAUACGGAUUUCUCGCGUAUACGAGAACUUAAACAGCCAUACGGCUGUAGCGCUGCAUUAUAUUAUUGUGCGCA